rnacentral:rRNA from 1 species
UACGUAGGUGACAAGCGUUGUCCGGAAUCAUUGGGCGUAAAGAGCGUGUAGGCGGCCCGACCAGUCCGCUGUGAAAGUCCAGGGCUCAACCCUGGAAUGCUGGUGGAUACUGUCGGGCUAGAGUCCGGAAUGGGCGAGUGGAAUUCCUGGUGUAGCGGUGAAAUGCGCAGAUAUCAGGAGGAACACCAAUGGCGAAGGCAGCUCGCUGGGACGUGACUGACGCUGAGACGCGAAAGCGUGGGGAGCAAACAGG